UACGUAGGGUGCGAGCGUUGUCCGGAAUUAUUGGGCGUAAAGGGCUCGUAGGCGGUUUGUCGCGUCGGGAGUGAAAAUCCAGGGCUUAACUCUGGACUGGCUUCCGAUACGGGCAGACUAGAGGUAUGCAGGGGAGAACGGAAUUCCUGGUGUAGCGGUGAAAUGCGCAGAUAUCAGGAAGAACACCCGUGGCUAAGGCGGUUCUCUAGUACGGUACUGACGCUGAGACGCGAAAGCGUGGGGAGCGAACAGG
rnacentral:rRNA from 1 species